UGGGGAAUCUUGCGCUAAUGCGGGAAACCGUGACGCAGCGACGCCGCGUGAGGGAAGAAGGCCUUCGGGUUGUAAACCUCUUUCAGGAGGGACGAAGCCACUCGGGUUAAUAGCCCAGAGGGUGACGGUACCUCCAGAAGAAGCCCCGGCUAACUACGUGCCAGCAGCCGCGGUAAUACGUAGGGGGCAAGCGUUGUCCGGAUUUAUUGGGCGUAAAGAGCGUGUAGGCGGCUAGAUAGGUCCGUUGUGAAAACUCGAGGCUCAACCUCGAGACGCCGGUGGAAACCAUCUAGCUAGAGUCCGGAAGAGGAGAGUGGAAUUCCUGGUGUAGCGGUGAAAUGCGCAGAUAUCAGGAAGAACACCCGUGGCGAAGGCGGCUCUCUGGUACGUGACUGACGCUGAGACGCGAAAGCGUGGGGAGCGAACA
rnacentral:rRNA from 1 species